rnacentral:rRNA from 1 species
UAGGGAAUCUUCCGCAAUGGGCGAAAGCCUGCCGGAGCAACGCCGCGUGAGUGAUGAAGGUCUUCGGAUCGUAAAACUCUGUUAUUAGGGAAGAACAAAUGUGUAAGUAACUAUGCACGUCUUGACGGUACCUAAUCAGAAAGCCACGGCUAACUACGUGCCAGCAGCCGCGGUAAUACGUAGGUGGCAAGCGUUAUCCGGAAUUAUUGGGCGUAAAGCGCGCGUAGGCGGUUUUUUAAGUCUGAUGUGAAAGCCCAUGGCUCAACCGUGGAGGGUCAUUGGAAACUGGAAAACUUGUGUGCAGAAGAGGAAAGUGGACGUCCAUGUGUAGCGGUGAAAUGGGCAGAGAUAUGGAGGAACACCAGUGGGGAAGGCGACUUUCUGGUCUGUAACUGACGCUGAUGUGCGAAAGCGUGGGGAUCAAACAGG